rnacentral:rRNA from 1 species
CCUACGGGAGGCAGCAGUGGGGAAUAUUGCGCAAUGGGCGAAAGCCUGACGCAGCGACGCCGCGUGAGGGAUGAAGGUCUUCGGAUCGUAAAACUCUGUUAGCAGGGAAGAACGGUCACUGUGGUAAGCAGCAGCGAAUUGACGGUACCUGCAAAGGAAGCACCGGCUAACUCCGUGCCAGCAGCCGCGGUAAUACGGAGGAGGCGAGCGUUGAUCGGAAUUAUUGGGCGUAAAGCGCUCGUAGGCGGUAUGUCAAGUCAAGGGUGAAAUCCCCGGGCUCAACCUGGGACUUGCCUUUGAAACUGGCAAACUGGAGUGUGUGAGAGGUGAGUGGAAUUCCCGGUGUAGGAGUGAAAUCCGGAGAUAUCUGGAGGAACACCAGGGGCGAAGGCGACUAUCUGGCACAUAACUGACGCUGAGGAGCGAAAGCGUGGGUAGCAAACAGGAUUAGAUACCCCAGUAGUC